GCUAGGAUGGCAGAGUGGUUAAUGCAAGGGACUUAGGAUCCCUCCCCCGGAGGUUCGAUUCCCCCUCCCAGCU
rnacentral:tRNA from 1 species